rnacentral:rRNA from 1 species
UACGGAGGAUGCGAGCGUUAUCCGGAUUUAUUGGGUUUAAAGGGUGCGCAGGCGGAGGUGCAAGUCAGUGGUCAAAUUGCGGGGCUCAACCCCGGGGCUGCAUUGGAAACUGGCGGGCUGGAGUUGGAGAGAAGUACGCGGAAUGCGCGGUGUAGCGGUGAAAUGCUUAGAUAUCGCGCAGAACCCCGAUUGCGAAGGCAGCGUACCGGCUCCACACUGACGCUGAGGCACGAAAGUGCGGGGAUCGAACAGG